rnacentral:lncRNA from 1 species
AUCAAAGACGCGGCCCAAGACUAGGCCUUCAUCGGAGCCAAAGCCCUGAGGAAACUUCUUUGGGAGCCUCCUUGAGUCUCCUCUUUUCCCUUUCUUUUCUUGUCUUCUUCUUUUCUUUCCUUGUUUCGCCUUCGGCGAUCCUGUACAAUUUUCUACCUGCUUAAUAUAUGAAAGCCAGCAUUUUAAGCUGGAUCUUUCGGAAAAAAGAGAGAAGGGGCAGCACAAGGAGGUUGGGGAGUAGGGCAGCGUACGGGGAGGUCGGGAAGAGAGAUGGAUCGCUAGGACAACGGGGAGGCAGCGAGAAGAUGGCUCGCGCGACCACGAGCCGGCGGCGGCGCGGCGGGCGUUGGGGAAGGCAGGAGAGCUAGAGAGGGGCUGCGAUGAGGGGGAAGGUGAGAAGGCGGCGGCGAUUUCUUUCUUUUCUUUUUUUGCUUCACCUGCAUGGACUGUCGAUUUUUCUCCGGGAGUAGCUGCUCGCAGGACGGAAGCCCAUGAAUAGACGGCCGGAUUAUGUCAAGCGCUUGAUCGGACGACCGAGAAGGCUGAUGGCGUGAGAGGACUUCCUAGGGUGCCCAGUUUUACUAUCCUAAAAUAGAAGACAGGCCUUCAGCACAU